CACAGAACAUCAACUUCCCCAUCCAAUAACAGCUGCGCUCUUUGCGCCGCUCUUCCUAGCGCCGCUACCAAAGCCACAACUCUGCCUGCCGGGCCGUGCCAAGAGAAGGGCGAAGUUGACAACUGUUUCCCUGUUUCGAACAUCGAAGCGCCGAACAGUUGAUGUGUUUUCAGGGAUAAAUCUCCAAUCACCUUUUUGAUCGCAUGCUCAGCAGGUGGUGUCUUGAUGCCUCUUCCUCGAGGUUUCGCGAAGGUCAUGCUGACAUUGAAUGUUGAACAAUGCUCAGUCCCACCGAUUCAUUCCUAGCUUUGUUCUUCAUGCAAAGAGCCAGAACCCGAAAAAGCAAUUUUUAUGUCGGUGAUGGGAUUUAGCAUCCAAUCCUGCAUCACUGGAGCCCCAGGGAUGGCACGGUGAUAGAUUCCACAGCUGCUUGUCCCUUGGAGGAUCGCUCACUCGCCCAAGCAUCAUUCACUUCCAGGCGUCAAGCUAUUGCAAG
rnacentral:sRNA from 1 species